AUUGAACGCUGGCGGCAGGCCUAACACAUGCAAGUCGAGCGCGUGGCGGACGGGUGAGUAAUGUCUGGGAACCUGCUUGAUGGAGGGGGAUAACUCGUGGAAACGGUGGCUAAUACCGAAUAGCAUACGCUGUGCCAAGCUGGGAUUAGCCAGUUGGUGGGGUAACGGCUCACAAAGGCGACGAUGCCUAGCUGGUCUGAGAGGGUGAACAGACACACUGGAACUGAGACACGGUCCAGACUCCUACGGGAGGCAGCAGUAGGGAAUAUUGCACAAUGGGCGCAAGCCUGAUGGAGCCACGCCGCGUGUAUGAAGAAGGUCUUCGGGUUGUAAAGUACUUUUAGCGGGGAGGCGUUACCCGCAGAAGAAGCACCGGCUAACUCCGUGCCAGCCGCCGCGGUAAUAC
rnacentral:rRNA from 1 species